rnacentral:rRNA from 1 species
AUUGAACGCUGGCGGCAGGCCUAACACAUGCAAGUCGAACGAGUGGCGGACGGGUGAGUAAUGUCUGGGAAACUGCCUGAUGGAGGGGGAUAACUACUGGAAACGGUAGCUAAUACCGCAUACCAUCGGAUGUGCCCAGAUGGGAUGAGCUAGUAGGUGGGGUAAAGGCUCACCUAGGCGACGAUCCCUAGCUGGUCUGAGAGGAUGACCGGCCACGCGGGAACUGGGACACGGUCCGUACUCCUACGGGAGGAAGCAGUGGGGAAUAUUGCACAAUGGGCGCAAGCCUGAUGCGGCCAGGCCGCGUGUAUGAAGAAGGCCUUCGGGUUGUAAAGUACUUUCAGCGGGGAGGCGUUACCCGCAGAGGAAGCACCGGCUAACUCCGUGCCAGCAGCCGCGGUAAUUC